UACAGAGGUGCGUCAAGCGUUGGUUCGGAUUCAUUGGGCGUAAAGGGUGCGUAGGCGGCGCGGUAAGUCGGGUGUGAAAUCUCGGAGCUUAACUCCGAAACUGCAUUCGAUACUGCCGUGCUUGAGGACUGGAGAGGAGACGUGGAAUUUACGGUGUAGCGGUGAAAUGCGUAGAUAUCGUAAGGAAGACCAGUGGCGAAGGCGGGUCAUCCUGGACCGU
rnacentral:rRNA from 1 species